rnacentral:tRNA from 1 species
AACGAGAGCCAUGACCCCUCCUUAGUGA